UAUAGGUGGCGCUGUACGAACUCCAGCAAACGCUCAGCGUUUAGAUGCUCAACCAGCUGUUGCAGUUGGAAACCACUCACCAGGAGGUAGUUCAAGUAUUUCAUCCUGCUUUGGUUUGAUCUUCUUAAGCGCAGCACUGUUAGUCGUGGGGAUAAACGGGAUAUUUAUGCGGCAAUUCUGAUCUGACAGUUUUGUAGAAGUUCUACUGAGAUUUCCAGUGCCAUCAUCUUGCUACCUUGGAAUUGUGACCUCAACAAUUCUUACGAUAACGUGUAAUUUUGAUAAAUCGGAGCCUCAGAAACAGAAUGUCUAUAAAGUUUGCCGUUGCGCUCCAUCAUAAAAUUAAGUUUUUUCUAGCAAUAAAUUUGUAACAUUACCCUGAUAAAAGUAGUUCUACAAACGGCCCAGUAAUUUAUCAUAGUGUGUCAUUUUCAGAUGAAUAUAUGUAGAUGUAUCAUGAAACAGAUUUUCUGCUUUAGAAAUUCCUCAAUUACUGAAAUAGAGUUUAAUGUUUUAUUGAGAGUACAAGACGAAUAUAAUUACAAUUGAUAUAUUAUCUUUAAAUAUUCGAAGCUGUUGUAGUAAACGGAAUAAAUGGAAGGUAAAAUAUUUUAUAAAACAUCUGUUUAAAAUUUCACUAUCCUAAAUCGUUCUAGAGAACAACUGAAUGAAACUAUCGGCAGUCAUGGUUAACACACAACAUCAUCAUUCUUGGUUGUGCUUAUAACUGCUGUUUCAUAAAGAAGAAAGAUUUAAAAGCGCCUGCUUAGCAAGAGUCUAGUUUAGCAUCUAAUGAACAGUGUCGUGGUUAGUUGGUACUGUUUCUGACAGAUUUAGUAUUGCAAGGAGUAUCCUGAAAUAAUGCAGUUUUUAGAAGUAUGAAUAUUACCUUCUUCCGCUUGACGAUGUGCAGAAGUGAAAUUGUUUUCUUUUGAAAUUAGAUCUGGUUUGAACAUUCUUUCAUUAAAAAAAAAAAAACAUAAACGUAAUGUAUGCUCUAAAACUAAUAAAGAGCACGGCUUUUAAAAAGCCUAAUGUUAAACAGUUUUCAAGCUUUGCUUUAAAAUAAUCAAUAGGACAAAAUAUGAAUUGUUUAAGGGCUUAAAUUGAGACCAUUAAAUGAUAUAGAAUCAGAUGAUUAGCCCUUCGACUUUUGACAACCCUAAAUUCAUAUCCUCGUCUGACACAAAUGUUAACUAGUGUGGGCAACUAUCUCUUUUAAGAUUUUUUUUUUCAUGAAACGAAUUUUUUAAAUACAUAAAAUACAAUUACCAAGUCAUUCGAACUGCAAAGGAAAUAUGGAAGAUAUGUUGCUGGCUGUUUUACUUAUAUUAACUUUUCAAUGUGCAAAUAUUUACAGGAAUGGUUAAUGUCGUGGUUUUGUCGAAAAUAAUUUUACUUUACGACUAUUUUUUGCUGUAAAUAUAUAUAUAUAGCUAGUCAGUUGAUAUACGUUUUCAAUCUACUUGUUUUAUGUUUAACAAAUAUGUAGCUGAUUAGAUGAUUUAAUGUUCGAUUUAUAAGUCAACUUUGGACGAUUUUUAUUUGCAACGUUUCGAUAGGUCAAGAAUUUGUUGUGUUAGUUUUACUCAUCCCUCCUUAUUUCUAUUCAACUUGGUGCUAGUUUACUUACAAAGCAAGCUAUAACUAUGGUUAUUCGCUUGAUUAUGUUUAAUCAAUUAAUCAAAUGAGACUCAACUAGGGCAUUCUGACAAACUGAGGUCAGAAAGUCUAUAGGUUAGUUAUUACAAUAAGCGGGAGUUCUUUCCUAAACUACGAUCAUCGUCCAUUCGAAUCUUUAAUGUUAAAAUAUCCACAGAAGAAGGAAAAUUAUUUUAUUAAUGAGUCUAUCAAAGAGCAAAUUCGUUCUUCUUUGCUGGUAAUAGUUUACUCAUUUCUUCACUAAUUACGAGUCUGUUUUGUUAUUUUUGAAUUUGUGUGUUGCUGUAUCUUGAAUGUAAUAAAGGCUUUCAGUAUUUUCAGUGUUUUUAAAACAAGAGGAUGCUUAAUAAAGUCUAGAACAUUAAGGUCA